rnacentral:rRNA from 1 species
UACAGAGGUGGCAGGCGUUGUUCGGAAUUACUGGGCGUAAAGGGCGAGUAGGUGGCCAUCUAAGUCAGACGUGAAAUCCCCCGGCUUAACCUGGGAACUGCGUCUGAUACUGGACGGCUUGAGUAUGGGAGAGGGAUGUAGAAUUCCUGGUGUAGCGGUGAAAUGCGCAGAUAUCAGGAGGAACACCGGUGGCGAAGGCGGGUCUCUGGGCCGAUACUGACGCUGAGGAGCGAAAGCGUGGGGAGCGAACAGG